ACAAGACUCAAAUUAAUUUGUGUUAUUACUGUUGUACUUAGCGUGGCUCACAGAUUUUGGGCUGAUUCUUCUCUCUCAGGUCUGGACAUCUCCAGCAAAGCUUUCUCUGGGACAAAGGGGCAGCUUGGCCAUAUGACUUGUAUAGGCCAAUGGGAAGUUAGCGAAUGGAAGACAGAAGCAUGAAGAACACUUGCCCAUUUCUACUUCCUCCCUGCUCCUCUGCAAUUUCCUGUGAUAACAGGCACACACAGGCUGGCCUAGCAGAGAGAUAAGGAUCUAUCUUUCCUAAAAGAAAAUACCUGGGCACUGGUAAUUAAAUUUCUUUAAAGGGAAGAAGCAGAGCUUCCCUGGUUGUGGCCAGUUAAAGGGAGCAGAGUGAAGAAAACAGUCUCUCCUAAAUCUCUUCUCUUUCCUUCUCCUGCAUUCCGAGAGGAGCCCCGAUGGCACCACAGACACCUCCUGGAUCAGAGCUUCUCAAACUUUCACAAGUACAGGAAUAACCUGGAGUCUUGUUAAAAUUCAGAUUCAGUAUCUUUGGAUUGGAGCCCUAGAACAUUGCCGAACAACUCAGAAAACACUGACUUUCUGAGUACCUCCUUUUGCAGAGAGGGAAUGCGACUCCAGGAAGGUCACAUUUAACGUCAGGACUGGGAUUCCACACACACAGAUCAGUGUUCUCUUUACCAUCUCUCUAUAUGACCCCAAGUCCCCACAGGUCCAUAUCAGACAAUAAAAGUACUAGUUAAUAAAAAUGCUGAUCUAAACUUCAUACAUGCUUUUUCUUUCUGCUAAAAUGUUUUAACUCACCAAAAGAAUCUCUGGCUUUAAAAAUCAAAUAGUUCCAAGAAAUUUGGCAGACUAAAAAUAUAUCCAAAGGCUUCUACUUUAAAAUAGCAUCUGUCACAACUUCUUACAUACCACUAAAUACAUAUAAAUACACAGAAGAUAAAAUAACCAAAACAAAACAAAAUGAUCAGAUGACCCCAAAAUAAAGAGUGCUGAAUGACCUUGAUCCAGAAUUUGAAAGGAAUGUCUUCUGUCUAUAACGUCAUUGAGAGUGGGUUGUUCCUGCUUUGCUACAUGACACAGAGCAGCUCUACUUGCUGGGGAAAAAAGAGAAGGAGAAUGUCUCCAUCCAGGCUGACCCUGACUCAUCGAGCCUUGGCACCUAACUCCCAAACAAAGCUGGCAGCCCAUUUCAGUUAGACAGCCACGUCAAGCAAUUUGAGUGGGAAACACCAUCUAGUCCAGAAAGAUCAUGUUAUAUGGGACAACUGGAGUCAGAGAUAAACACAUUAGCAUUAGCUCAUGAUUGAACUUUGCCAUGAGAAAAGAUUUCCACCACCACCAAAAUGGACAGAAUUCUGAACUUAGGCCUAUUUGUAGGCUCUGUGCCCUGAUCAAGGUCCAGAGAAAAAUUUCCCUCAGUCAAGAACAAACAGAAUAUGCCAACACAUGAUCUUUAAGAAAUCCUGCAGAUCAAAGAAAAGAGAUUUUAUCCAGAACUCAGAAAAAUUGCACCAUGGAAAGAAACAGAAUUUUUUUACCUGUUUCCUGGCUGCGCACUUUAGCUGGAAGGCUCUCACCUAAUUUCUCUUUUAACUAGCUCACUGCUACUCUUUAUUUGGGUUUUACCUUCUCAAAGAGUCCUUCCUCUACCCUCUAGAUUAAAGUAGACCUCUAUUCCAUACUCUCAGG